rnacentral:rRNA from 1 species
CCUACGGGAGGCAGCAGUGAGGAAUAUUGGUCAAUGGGCGAGAGCCUGAACCAGCCAAGUAGCGUGAAGGAUGACUGCCCUAUGGGUUGUAAACUUCUUUUAUAAAGGAAUAAAACGAGGCACGUGUGCCUUUUUGUAUGUACUUUAUGAAUAAGGAUCGGCUAACUCCGUGCCAGCAGCCGCGGUAAUACGGAGGAUCCGAGCGUUAUCCGGAUUUAUUGGGUUUAAAGGGAGCGUAGAUGGGUUGUUAAGUCAGUUGUGAAAGUUUGCGGCUCAACCGUAAAAUUGCAAUUGAUACUGGCAGGCUUGAGUACAGUUGAGGUAGGCGGAAUUCGUGGUGUAGCGGUGAAAUGCUUAGAUAUCACGAAGAACCCCGAUUGCGAAGGCAGCUUACUAAACUGUGACUGACAUUGAUGCUCGAAAGUGUGGGUAUCAAACAGGAUUAGAUACCCGAGUAGUC